AGCUUUGCACGGUGGUAGUAUCAUAGCCAAUGGGGUCUAUCUGAAGCAUGAUUAUUGCUAACUGAAAACUCAGUGAGGAAAGGAACUGGAAAUCAGUCCAUGGAGAUCUUCUUUUGGCCAGCUGAGUGGC
rnacentral:snRNA from 1 species